rnacentral:rRNA from 1 species
AUGCAGUUUUUUGCCUUAUCAUUGUGCCUCAAGUUUCAGACAUUGCUUGGCUGUACAGCGACGAUUUUCGCCGAUAAUCCGUCUACUCAUACUCGACCGUUCGCCGGAACUUUGGCUGACAUGAGGUAUAUACUACUUUUUAUCACUUUUACUUCUUCUCACCGGAUGCAUGCAUGCUUCUCCGCACAGGUUUUCCUUAGUUCAGUACUUUUUUUUGGUGUAUACUUUCUCCUCAUCAAUCAAGUAUAUGUACAACAAGACAGAAAGAAACAUAUACUGUUGAUCGAUACUGAAAUAUCAUAUGGAAGAUAG